rnacentral:rRNA from 1 species
AGCGUAGACGGCGUAUCAAGUCUGAUGUGAAAGGCAGGGGCUUAACCCCUGGACUGCAUUGGAAACUGGUAUGCUUGAGUGCCGGAGGGGUAAGCGGAAUUCCUAGUGUAGCGGUGAAAUGCGUAGAUAUUAGGAGGAACACCAGUGGCGAAGGCGGCUUACUGGACGGUAACUGACGUUGAGGCUCGAAAGCGUGGGGAGCAAACA